rnacentral:rRNA from 1 species
GUGGAUUAGAUACCCUGGUAGUCCACGCCGUAAACGAUGGAUACUAGCUGUUGGAAGCAAUUUCAGUGGCUAAGCGAAAGUGAUAAGUAUCCCACCUGGGGAGUACGAACGCAAGUUUGAAACUCAAAGGAAUUGACGGGGGCCCGCACAAGCGGUGGAGCAUGUGGUUUAAUUCGAUGAUACGCGAGGAACCUUACCAAGGCUUAAAUGUAGAUUGACAGGUUUGGAAACAGAUCUUUCUUCGGACAAUUUACAAGGUGCUGCAUGGCCGUCGACAGCU